CCGCAGGAACGCCUGGAUCUCCACUAUUCAUUCUUCAUUUCUUUUUGGCUGGAAUUGUGCAGUUGCACUUUCUUCCUCCUCUAGAAGUGCCACGAGUGGCCAAAGCUGGCAAGUGAGCCGUGUUCCUGAGGCAGUGCAGUCUGGAGCUGAUGGAUGGAGAAUUGCCCUUCCCACUUCCAAAGCAGAGCAAAAAGCCAGGUCCUGGCCCUCUUCCAGCCAAAAGGGAAAGGGCCCCACCAAGCCUUGUUACCCACAGACAACAUGGUAAAGCUGAACACUAAAGGACCUUGGGGGCAUUAUUCUGGAAUUAAAAAGUUGCCAGCUCCAUGGACAACAGAAUUAUUGUUCCUAACCUGAAUGACAUUGAGCAAAAAGAAUGAAGAACGGUGUCACUAAAGUACUACUGACGUUUGCCAAAACACCUCCAGAGUUUCACCAAGGGAUCAGUCAUCAAAAUGUUUUGAAAAUUUAAAGACCAAGGUAGCCAAAGCACACAGUGUCACUAAUUGCUGGGUAUGUUCUCAGCUGAAGUUGGGAGGAAUGGGGUUCCCUUGGAGGGCCCACCCUGUGGGGUGGCCAGAACUCUGUCAAUGGGCUCUGCCUCGUAACGGAGUCAAUGAAGGGACAGUUACAGAAACCUGUGCUGUGGGACACGGGAAUACAACGAUCAGUGUGACAGGAUUCACUCAGAUUUCCCCUCAGGAGAAACCAAACCCUGUUACAGUUAUAGAGGCUACAGUGUCAGAAGAUUUCUGUGCUUUACCAUCACUCCCAAUGUCAGUAGAACUUGGGGUGCUGCAGCUGGUCAGUGUCAGUGUCACACCGCUCCCAGCUGCAGGGCCCCCAUUUAGGGUCCUUCAGCAACGACCACACGGAAGACUUAGGGCCCAGAGAACAUUUUCCACCCAAAGAGUGCCUUGGGUUUCCGAAAGCAAAGGAUUCUGGUUCACCCUGUGCCCCAUGUGCGCUGCCCCAUCCCGUGGAGUUGACAUGAAUGAGCUGAAUGGAUUAUUAGAAGAGGUAGUAAAUUAUACUCUUAAAAUGUCCAAUAGGGCAUUGGAUUAUUAGAAGAGGUAGUAAAUGAUACUGUUAAAAUGUCCAAUAGCACAUCCUAUGAACUCCAACAAAUGGGGACUCCAGAGAACCGCAUGGACUUGGAUUAUCUGCUUGCUUGCCAAGGAGGAACCUGGGCUAUCAGGGGACGGGGAUGUUGCACUGCUAGCAGUGAUGGGUUUGAAGGCCAACAGCCAGGAAUCACCUUGACAGAAAGAACAGUAGAAGAGUGGCAGAAGAAAAUUCUUCUCGGUGGGAUUGGCUUCACGGCUGCCAAAUUAGAGGCUGCUGUGAAAUGCAUUGGUGGCAGGGCCUGUCAUCAUUGCAGUGUGUGCACUUGGUGAGUUGCUGUGACACUUUGUGCUGGGAAGUGGAAUAUUGGGACCUUUCUUAAAAGAGACAGUCUCAAGAAAAGAGAGGCAUUUGAUAAAUAACAGAGAAUAGCAACUAUUUAGGCAUGUUUUAAAAGGAACGUGAAUAGCUCUGAGUAAUGAAGUUAAACUGCACUUAAUUGUAGAACAAGAGGAGAUGCCUUUAUGCCUAAUACCUAAAUCUAAGCUGUGUUACUGAAAGAAUUGUUACAAAGGUUGUAGUUGAUUGUAGGUCUCAGGACCGAUCAAAGUACCAAGGCCUGAACAGGUUGUGAUCAAGGCCUGAACAGGCCCUGAGGCAAAGCUCACCUCUAGAUGAACCUUCCAAGCAAAUGUUGUAUUUGUAUCCACUCAUUAAGGAAGCAUGAUUAACAACAGGAUCAAUGCAUGUGUUCCUUGAUAAAACACGGAUUUAUCUUUCUGUAUUUAGAAACAGACAAGGCCCCAUCUGGCCUUGUUUGGGGGUGAAGGAUCAAAGUCAACUCCCUUGGUUCCUCCUUCAGCCCUGGCCAGGCUUUGGGAGAAAGCAGUCAGGAGAAUGAAAGCAGAUGUUCUCGCAGUGGCAGUGAUGCCAGCUUGUUUGUUUAACAGUGUAAAAGCUGGGUCCUCUCACAGCUUUGGGCUUGGAGCCUCAUUGCUUGCAGAGGUGGAGGCACCUGCAGGAAUUCCCAGUGUCUGGGAGUGGCUCUCCAGUCCUUGGCUUCCCCCAGCUGAUGUGUGGCUGUGGAUGAUGGUAAAGCCUGAGGCUAACUGGUGAUGGAUCUUUCCUUAAUCACUCCAGGCAAUCUCUGGUAGCAAUGACUGGAUGCAUUGCUGAGCUUCUUUUGUAAUGCUUUGCUAAUGAUGAUGUGCUUUGCUGAGCUUAUCCUUUUGUAAUUCUUUGCAGCUGUGCAUGAUAUAAAUGACACAAUUCCUUCAGUUGGUGUCUGUGUCUUUGGUGCUGACCCUGCCCACUGGUGAGACAGGGCCCCCUCCAGCCUAGAGUGUUACCUAGGAAGAGAAAAGCCAUCACUCCAAAUGUCCCCCCUUCCUCCUUGUUCCCCCCACUUUAUACCCUGAGCGUGAUGCCUGCCCUAUGGUCUGGGGUAUCCCCGGGGUCAGUGGGGGUCACCUGUCCUGGCUGUGUCCCCUCCCAAGCUCCCCCGCAGCCCCAGCCCCUCUCCAGCGUGGCCAGAGGAGGGGCAGGCCAGGCUUUGGCUCAGUGGGAGCUCAGCAAGAACAAAAGCAUCUCUGUGUGCCCAGCCCUGUGCUCAGCACCCGGCCCAGCAGCAGCGUCUCAGUGAAUGCUUGUGAAUGGAGUCCUCCCUCCUUUGUCCAGGUGGUUUCAACAUUGUGUUGCAAUCCCUGUCGCUGGCUUGUGUGUUUUUAAAAACUUCUUAGAAGAGUAUCUUAACAGUACAUAAUGAUAAAAUAUAUGACAAUUUUAUUUGCACGAAUUGUCAUAUCCAUAUAGCAGCAUCUUUUAAUAAUUUUGACUAUGUUUAAAUGAGAUCACCAAGAGAGACUAUAGCUCUGCACAGACAUGUGCAGGCAUGCCUAGGAAUUUGGCUUGCCUGCAGUUUAUCUGUCCCAGUUAAAGGCAGAUGCAGCCUUUUGCUUCCAUGGACAUUGAUGAGCUGGUAGAUGUGCUAACAGGGAGAGAGCUCACACACAGCAACUGGUCCUGAUCUAAUCACACACAUUCUUACAGUGCUGUUUGGCUCCAACAUGCCCAACUGCAGGAAUAUUUUCAGUUUUCCUUCCUACCUCCUUGGACAGGGAUCACCCAAGUUUGGAUGAGAAGGAGCUUCCCUGGAGUACCUGCAAACAUACUGGGAAUGCUGGUGAGUGGCUCAGAAAGCCCGGCAGACUCUUUACAGUUUGUCCCUAGACAUCUUGUUGAAAAGCUUCAGAACAACAGGAGUGGUGUCACAGGCAGAGGAUGGGGAUCAGCCUCUGAGUCUUGCCUACCCUCUUCUACCGCUUUUCUCCUUUCCUACAGCCCAAAGUGAGAAUUCUAAUUUUUGGCAACAGUAUCUCGUUGAUUUUUAUAGUCUGACAUUUUCCUUAUCCCUUAAUUCUUUGCCUGAGUUCUGCUGCUGCACCACACAAGCUCCCUUUAUCGCUGAGCAUUCUCCACUUGUCUCUAUCAGAUGUCAAGCUAUUGAUUCGGAGGUGAUGUCAAGGUCAUUUGGGAUUCUGACACUUUCCUUGAGAGUUCUCCUUGGGAAUGCUUGGAGAUUUUGGUGACUUUUGGCCAGACACAAAUGUCCUAGUUAUGUUCUAUUUCCUCUUGACAGCUGUACCAGGGAACAAUGUUUUAAUGGGAAUAAUUUAAAUUUUUAAUAUGUCGGUCCCUGAAUAAAGAACGUUCAAGACUGAAGAAAUUCUAAACACUAUCAUACUUAAUGCAAUCCUUAUCCUACCCUAUCUCUUCUUUCUCUUGGAUUUUGAAGAAGAUCAAAGGAAUGAUUUAUUCACAGUCUUUGUAAGUGAGCGCUAGCAGUUAUGUUCAAUGUGCUAAUCAUGUGCAGCAGCAAAGCAGAAAUGGAAACUGGACUAUCUGCAAAUGUUGCCUCUUUUUUCCCCCAUGCCUUCUGAUUACUCUGUGGAUGCAGCAUCCCACAAAAUAUGUGAAGUUUACAUAGAGAGCAACAGACAGAACAAGUUUCAACAAGAAUUCCUUUCUUCCUGGCUGAAGUGUACAAACCCAGCAACUGUGCUCCCAACACAAGCUGCAGUUUCCAUGCCUCCUGUACAUGUGCUUGUGUUUUUGUGGGGCUUUUCAAAACAAACUGGGCUGAAUCACACUGCAGGAGCUUCCCAGGCUGUGUCCUUGGCCAAGCCUGGAACAGCAGACUCACACCAAAACCUCUUGCCUGCAGGCAGGUAGGGACAGCAAUUGUUUACUCACUUGCACGAAUCAUGAGGGGGUUUUCCCUUCACUUUAUAGUCCCAUAUGGUGAUGCUUCUCCUGUUGGGCACUCUCAGCCUCUUCUCAUGCACCCAAACUGCCUCCAGGAGCGCAUCCUCCAUCCUCUGACCCACCCCAGCCACCUUUGGGCAUGAGAUCCUGCUCACUCCCACUCCUGUUCCCUUCUCUGGAGCCACACUCAUCCUGCCUAUCACACCGUCCUGCACUUCCACCUAAUUUUGUAUCCCGACUUUUAAUUAUGGCAGGUGGGCCAGAAUUUCUACACGAGAGACAGAAGAAGUGACCCAAGAGAUCUCCAAGAGACACAAAAAGUGUGUCUUGCUCUGACAGUCAGCUGAAGGAUUUGCUCUCCCAGUGCCUGCAUUUCCCAGAACACACCCCAGCCUCUCCAGGCAGUGAUUUUCCCACAUCCCAAACCCCUCACUGUCCAUUUCCAGCCCUCCCAGGAAUGAGGUCCUCGUGGCACUCGUACCCCAGGUACCAAGACAGACAAAACCAGCCAGCAUAGACAGGUUUGGUUUCGUUCCAAGGGGUAAUUUCUGUUCUUUUUCUAACAUCUACAUCUCCAAGGAUUUAAUCUAUACUCCUGUGGGUCUCAGAUUCAGUCAAAUAGAGAAAUGGAGAGUUUCUAGCCAGGCAGAAGCCUGGGAAAGAGUUGGGAAAGAAUGUAAAUAAAAGAGCGGUGUAUUUUGAAUAAACCAGAGUUUUACUCUCAGCAGUCUUCUGAGUCAGUCUUCUCAUUCCCGUCCUGCCUCGACAGCGACAUACUCCUGAAGCAACUGAUGACCACACAAAACGUUCAUUUUACAGGAGGUCCCGCUCUGCCCUUGGAAUUCCUUGGAAAAAAUCCACCCUCACCCAAACCUGGUCUUCCUCCUCCAGUCAGUUUUUCUUUAGU